GCUUGUCUCAAAGAUUAAGCCAUGCAUGUCUAAGUGUAAAUAAGUCUAUACUGUGAAACUGCGAAUGGCUCAUUAAAUCAGUUAUAGUUUAUUUGAUGGUACCUACUACUCGGAUAACCGUAGUAAUUCUAGAGCUAAUACGUGCGCACAACCCGACUUCUGGAAGGGUCGUAUUUAUUAGAUGGAAACCAAUGCGGGGCAACCCGGUAUAUGGUGAUUCAUAAUAACUUUCGGAUCGAUCUUCGGAUCGAUGCAUCAUUCAAGUUUCUGCCCUAUCAGCUUUGGAUGGUAGGGUAUUGGCCUACCAUGGCUUUAACGGGUAACGGAGAAUUAGGGUUCGAUUCCGGAGAGGGAGCCUGAGAAAUGGCUACCACAUCCAAGGAAGGCAGCAGG
rnacentral:rRNA from 1 species